rnacentral:rRNA from 1 species
CAGUCGCCGCGGGAAUACAGAGGGUGCGAGCGUUAAUCGGAUUUACUGGGCGUAAAGCGUGCGUAGGCGGCUAAUUGAGUCGGAUGUGAAAUCCCCGAGCUUAACUUGGGAAUUGCAUUCGAUACUGGUUAGCUAGAGUGUGGGAGAGGAUGGUAGAAUUCCAGGUGUAGCGGUGAAAUGCGUAGAGAUCUGGAGGAAUACCGAUGGCGAAGGCAGCCAUCUGGCCUAACACUGACUCUGAGGUACGAAAGCAUGGGGAGCAAACAGGAUUAGAUACCCCUGUAGUCCCUGUCUCUUAUAC